rnacentral:ncRNA from 1 species
GUAAAGUUUUAUUCUUGCUUUUUCAUUCAGUUUAUGUUUGUUUUAUAUGUAAGUUUUUGCGUGAGUUAAGCUCCUCUCUAGAUGGGUUAGGUGUAUUAAUUGAUUUAUUCUCAUUAGUUGUUAUUGGUUGAUCAAGUACGCUUGUAUUUAGCAAUUCGUUUUAGUUUCGGUUAAAUUUUGUGCCAGCAGCCGCGGUUAUACCUUGGAGGCGUUUGAAUGUGUUUGGUGUUGUAGUUGUUAUGUUUAGUUUAAUUGAUUUUAGUUUAUUUGUUUAUUAGGUGAAAUUUUUAUUGUUAUUUUGUGUCAUUUGGUUUUUUGGAGGCUAUGAAAUUCCUUUUAUAGACUAGGAUUAGAUACCCUAUUAUUUUGGAGCGUUAAUUUUUGUGCCUGAGUAGUAUUAGUUAUGUUCUUGAAACUUAAAGAAUUUGGCGGUAUCUUAUUCCAUCCAGAGGAAUCUGUCUCGUUAUCGAUAGUCCGCGUUGGACCUUACUUAGUUGCUUUGGUUUGUAUACCGCCGUAUAUUGAUUAUCUUUUUAGAGUUUGUUUAAUUUUCUGGUUUCUUUAUUUUGAUUUAUUUCAGGUCAAGGUGCAGCUUGUUUCUAAGUGGAAUGAUGGAUUACAUUGUUAUUUGUUUAUUGGAUUGUUGGUUUUAAUAUUAAUAUGAAAUUGGAUUUGGUUGUAAUGUUUUGUAGAUUGUUUUCAUGAUAAUUGGUUCUGGGAUAUGUACACAUCGCCCGUCGCUCUCGUUUAUUUGUUAAUGAGAUAAGUCGUAACAAAGUGGUUGUACCGGAAGGUGCAGCUGGAUUGAG